GAUGAACGCUGGCGGCGUGCCUAAUACAUGCAAGUCGAGCGAACAGAUGAGGAGCUUGCUCCUCUGACGUUAGCGGCGGACGGGUGAGUAACACGUGGAUAACCUACCUAUAAGACUGGGAUAACUUCGGGAAACCGGAGCUAAUACCGGAUAAUAUAUUGAACCGCAUGGUUCAAUAGUGAAAGACGGUUUUGCUGUCACUUAUAGAUGGAUCCGCGCCGCAUUAGCUAGUUGGUAGGGUAACGGCUUACCAAGGCAACGAUGCGUAGCCGACCUGAGAGGGUGAUCGGCCACACUGGAACUGAGACACGGUCCGGACUCCUACGGGAGGCAGCAGUAGGGAAUCUUCCGCAAUGGGCGAAAGCCUGACGGAGCAACGCCGCGUGAGUGAUGAAGGUCUUCGGAUCGUAAAACUCUGUUAUUAGGGAAGAACAAAUGUGUAAGUAACUAUGCACGUCUUGACGGUACCUAAUCAGAAAGCCACGGCUAACUACGUG
rnacentral:rRNA from 1 species